GUGAAUCAUCGAAUCUUUGAACGCAAAUUGCACUCUCUGGUAUUCCGGAGAGUAUGCCUGUUUGAGGGUCAUUUUAAAUAAAAAUCGUUGCGAUUGCUGCCUUUCUUGGUGACGCACUGUCUAUGGGUUGUCUUGGCUUCGGUUCAGCGACCUAAUAUUUUGCAUGAUUUGUUUGAUACGUAUUGAAACGACUUUACUUACGUUUGCGAUAUCGAAUAU
rnacentral:misc_RNA from 1 species